rnacentral:rRNA from 1 species
ACAAGUACCGUGAGGGAAAGUUGCAAAGCACUUUGAAGAGAGAGUUAAAGAGGACGUGAAACCGAUGAGGUGGAAACGGACAGAGCUGGCGUAUCUGGCCUGUAUUCACCCGUUGGCUGCUGUUCACUGGGCUGUCUGUCUCCAGACUGGGGCAGCUGUCUGAUUGUCUUCAGUGGCUGAUGGGGCAUUUGCAGGUGGAGUGCGCCGAGAUGCUCGGGGCAGCUGCAUGAGAUCGGCUCUGAGGCCAGCCCUUCGGGGUCUGGUACCCGGGCCGGUGGAGUGUUGUUUGUCCUGGGUGCCCAAUCGUGCAAUGGUUACCGGGUGUCUGUCGGUUCGGGCCGGCUGCUGGUGGCGGUCGCGUGCGACACGUAUCAGUGGUUAGUCUGGGCUGGCCGGUGCUCUCAGUUGUGCGUUCUCGGUGUAAAAGCCGGUCUUCUGUUCGACCCGUCUUGAAACACGGACCAAGGAGUUUAGCGUAUGCGCGAGUCAUUGGGUGUCGAAAACCCAAAGGCGCAAUGAAAGUAAAGGCGUCCUUAUGGAGCUGAUGUGUGAUCCCGAGUGCUUCGGUGCGAGGGAGCAACAUAGUCCCGUCUCGAUUGCAUGCAAUGGGGCGGAGACAGAGCGUAUGCGCUGAGACCCGAAAGAUGGUGAACUAUUCCUGAGCAGGAUGAAGCCAGAGGAAACUCUGGUGGAAGUCCGAAGCGAUUCUGACGUGCAAAUCGAUCGUCUGACUUGGGUAUAGGGGCGAAAGACUAAUCGAACCAUCUAGUAGCUGGUUCCUUCCGA